rnacentral:rRNA from 1 species
GAUGAACGCUGGCGGCGUGCUUAACACAUGCAAGUCGAACGAAGCACUUUAUUUGAUUUCCUUCGGGACUGAUUAUUUUGUGACUGAGUGGCGGACGGGUGAGUAACGCGUGGGUAACCUGCCUUGUACAGGGGGAUAACAGUUGGAAACGGCUGCUAAUACCGUAUAAGCGCACAGCAUCGCAUGAUGCAGUGUGAAAAACUCCGGUGGUAUAAGAUGGACCCGCGUUGGAUUAGCUAGUUGGUGAGGUAACGGCCCACCAAGGCGACGAUCCAUAGCCGACCUGAUAGGGUGACCGGCCACAUUGGGACUGAGACACGGCCCAAACUCCUACGGGAGGCAGCAGUGGGGAAUAUUGCACAAUGGGCGAAAGCCUGAUGCAGCGACGCCGCGUGAGCGAAGAAGUAUUUCGGUAUGUAAAGCUCUAUCAGCAGGGAAGAUAAUGACGUUACCUGACUAAGAAGCACCGGCUAAAUACGUG